rnacentral:rRNA from 1 species
AACGAACGCUGGCGGCAGGCCUAACACAUGCAAGUCGAGCGCGCCCUUCGGGGUGAGCGGCGGACGGGUGAGUAACGCGUGGGAACGUGCCCUUUUCUACGGAAUAGCCUUGGGAAACUGAGAGUAAUACCGUAUACGCCCUUUGGGGGAAAGAUUUAUCGGAAAAGGAUCGGCCCGCGUUGGAUUAGGUAGUUGGUGGGGUAAUGGCCUACCAAGCCGACGAUCCAUAGCUGGUUUGAGAGGAUGAUCAGCCACACUGGGACUGAGACACGGCCCAGACUCCUACGGGAGGCAGCAGUGGGGAAUCUUAGACAAUGGGGGCAACCCUGAUCUAGCCAUGCCGCGUGAGUGAUGAAGGCCUUAGGGCUGUAAAGCUCUUUCAGCUGGGAAGAUAAUGACGGUACCAGCAGAAGAAGCCCCGGCUAACUCCGUG